UAUAAACACAAACUUGAUAAUUAGUGAUGUAACAAUAAAUCAUGACCGAUAGCAAAAUUAACUGAUUAUGAAUAGAAGGAAUGAAUUAUGGUAUAUAGCAUAAAUGAAUGGAAUGAACUAGAAAAGGAUGGAAAAUUAUAGAUUCAGUCAAGAGUGUGGUUUCUGUUGAAUGUAUCACAUUAACUUUAAUGACGUCAUUGGAAGGCAAUAAAGUGCUGGACAGAAAACAUCUACACAAAGGCAUAAACACAAUUUCUCACAAAGAUUUGUCAGUUUUAAUAAUUAUAAUAAUAGUUUAGAUUUUUAUUAGAAACUAAGGCUAGGUUUAGUGGUUUACACAUCUUGAUAGAACUCUAUGGAAACAAAAGUGGUGUUCAAAGUGUAUCGUUUUAAAAACUAUUCGUUUUGUGUUGCUGUGUAAACCCAACCUAAGCUAUGAUUUACAAUUAUUAGUUGAAUUUCACAGUCGAUCUGUGGGCUCAAUGUAGCAUGCAAACAUCAACAGUCCAUCAACAUCAUGUUUGUAUAAUUAUGCCUGCAUUGACAGAGCACAUGCACAGUAAACAUGCAAUAUUUUUAAUUAUUAUUAUAUUUCUGAUAAGCCAUUUUUUAAUCUCUUAUUAUUUUUCAGUAAUACUCUACAAAAUACAACUAAACUCAAUAAUUUAUUAAUUCAAUGAAUUUGAAAAUACAACAAGAAGUACUUUAA